rnacentral:lncRNA from 1 species
CUUUUGUAAAGUGGCUUGACCCUCACAGCUAUGGCACAGAUAGCAGGGUCAUCAAAAGCUGCUCCAUUCUUCUGGAAGCUACAGAGAAAGGGAACCUGGAAACCUGGUAUGCUGGCAAAAAGGGGUCAUGGGUGGCAAAAUAAAAACAGAGAAGAUGUGGACCAUGUCAUCAUUUAAUGAAGGAAAGAACUGAAAAUUGUAUUUGAGAACAAAGACACUAAACUUACCACCAUGCCAAAAGUAGAAGAGAUAUGAGAAACUAAAUGAUCCCCACUUAGUAGGAAGCAUAAUAUUGCAUCAGAAAUAAAAUGGGAAUAAUUAUAGCACCUGCUUUAUUUGCAUUUUGUGACCAAUAAAUGAA